GACGAACGCUGGCGGCGUGCCUAACACAUGCAAGUCGAGCGUAGAUAAAAUGAUGAUUUAUCGGGUUUUUAUCUUAGCGCCGGACGGGUGAGUAACGCGUGAGAAACCUGCCUUAUACUGGGGGAUAGCACACCUAAAGGUGUGCUAAUACCGCAUAAAUUUACUAGAUCGCAUGGUCUUGUAACCGAAGGAGUAAUGCGGUGUAAGAUGGUCGCGCGUCUGAUUCGCUAGUGGGUGGGGUAAAGGCAUACCAAGGCGAAGAUCAGUAGCCGACCUGAGAGGGUGAUCGGCCACAUUGGGACUGAGACACGGCCCAGACUCCUACGGGAGGCAGCAGUGGGGAAUAUUGCGCAAUGGGGGAAACCCUGACGCAGCAACGCCGCGUGAAGGAUGAAGGUCUUCGGAUUGUAAACUUCUGUGAUUGGGGCAGAUAAUGACGGUACCCAAAAAACAAGCCACGGCUAACUACGUGCCAGCCGCCGCGGUAA
rnacentral:rRNA from 1 species